UACGUAGGUGGCGAGCGUUGUCCGGAAUCAUUGGGCGUAAAGAGCGCGUAGGUGGCUUGUCAGGUCCGGUGUGAAAUCCUGGGGCUCAACUCCAGGCGUGCAUCGGAAACCGGCUUGCUAGAGUCUGGGAGAGGAGAGUGGAAUUCCUGGUGUAGCGGUGAAAUGCGUAGAUAUCAGGAGGAACACCGGUAGCGAAGGCGGCUCUCUGGAACAGUACUGACACUGAGGCGCGAAAGCUAGGGGAGCGAACAGGAUUAGAUACCCCUGUA
rnacentral:rRNA from 1 species